rnacentral:rRNA from 1 species
GCUUGCUCUCAAGAAGUUAGCGGCGGACGGGUGAGUAACACGUGGGUAACCUGCCCAUAAGACUGGGAUAACUCCGGGAAACCGGGGCUAAUACCGGAUAAYAUUUUGAACUGCAUGGUUCGAAAUUGAAAGGCGGCUUCGGCUGUCACUUAUGGAUGGACCCGCGUCGCAUUAGCUAGUUGGUGAGGUAACGGCUCACCAAGGCAACGAUGCGUAGCCGACCUGAGAGGGUGAUCGGCCACACUGGGACUGAGACACGGCCCAGACUCCUACGGGAGGCAGCAGUAGGGAAUCUUCCGCAAUGGACGAAAGUCUGACGGAGCAACGCCGCGUGAGUGAUGAAGGCUUUCGGGUCGUAAAACUCUGUUGUUAGGGAAGAACAAGUGCUAGUUGAAUAAGCUGGCACCUUGACGGUACCUAACCAGAAAGCCACGGCUAACUACGUGCCAGCAGCCGCGGUAAUACGUAGGUGGCAAGCGUUAUCCGGAAUUAUUGGGCGUAAAGCGCGCGCAGGUGGUUUCUUAAGUCUGAUGUGAAAGCCCACGGCUCAACCGUGGAGGGUCAUUGGAAACUGGGAGACUUGAGUGCAGAAGAGGAAAGUGGAAUUCCAUGUGUAGCGGUGAAAUGCGUAGAGAUAUGGAGGAACACCAGUGGCGAAGGCGACUUUCUGGUCUGUAACUGACACUGAGGCGCGAAAGCGUGGGGAGCAACAGGAUAGAUACCCUGGUAGUCCACGCCGUAAACGAUGAGUGCU